rnacentral:rRNA from 1 species
AUUGAACGCUGGCGGCAGGCCUAACACAUGCAAGUCGAGCGGAUGAAGGGAGCUUGCUCCUGGAUUCAGCGGCGGACGGGUGAGUAAUGCCUAGGAAUCUGCCUGGUAGUGGGGGAUAACGUCCGGAAACGGGCGCUAAUACCGCAUACGUCCUGAGGGAGAAAGUGGGGGAUCUUCGGACCUCGCGCUAUCAGAUGAGCCUAGGUCGGAUUAGCUAGUUGGUGGGGUAAAGGCCUACCAAGGCGACGAUCCGUAACUGGUCUGAGAGGAUGAUCAGUCACACUGGAACUGAGACACGGUCCAGACUCCUACGGGAGGCAGCAGUGGGGAAUAUUGGACAAUGGGCGAAAGCCUGAUCCAGCCAUGCCGCGUGUGUGAAGAAGGUCUUCGGAUUGUAAAGCACUUUAAGUUGGGAGGAAGGGCAGUAAGUUAAUACCUCGCUGUUUUGACGUUACCAACAGAAUAAGCACCGGCUAACUUCGUG